ncrna:unclassified sequences IMES-5 RNA
CUUUAGUGAAAGAUUUACUAACUCGAGACGGUAAAAGGGAAGCUAAAGAAUAGAAAGAGAAAGGGUGAGAAGACGUAAGAAAUUACGCCACCUGCAGGAGAAAGGGUUUUUCGCCUGCGCUAGUCAACCCACUAGACCCCUUUAACUUCG